CCCUCGUCUUUCUUCCAUUUGAUUCAACGAAUGAUUCAAUGAUUGG
rnacentral:antisense_RNA from 1 species